UCGAAACCUGCCAUGCAGAACGACCAGCGAACAUGUUUACAACAUGCAUGGGAUGGGGUUGCUGGCUUUCCAGUCCCACCCCAAUGCUGGGGGACACUCCUUAAGGGAUGCUUCCCAGCACAAUAACGAACCCCGGCGCGUUAAGCGUCAAGGAACAUAUAUUCGAGUGUGCAUGUCCUUGCCCGGAAUACGGUGCAUGGAUGUGGCACCCCAUUUAAGUCAUAAUACGACUCUCGGCAACGGAUAUCUUGGCUCUCGCAUCGAUGAAGAACGUAGCGAAAUGCGAUACUUGGUGUGAAUUGCAGAAUCCCGUGAACCAUCGAGUUUUUGAACGCAAGUUGCGCCCGAAGCCUUCUGGCCAGGGCACGUCUGCCUGGGCGUCACGCAUAGCGUCUCCCCCWCCCCACCAAGUGUAGGGAGGGAGAGGAUGAUGGCCUCCCAUGCCUCAUGGGUCGUGGAUGGCCUAAAUAAGGAGCCAUAGGACACGAGAUGUGUUGGCGAUUGGUGGUACACAAGGCAUUUGCCUAGACAGCAUCGCGCUAAGCAUCACGUGUCAUAUGCAGGCUCGAAGGACCCUUACAAACCUUUGCGACCCCAGGUCAGGCGGGGUUACCCG
rnacentral:rRNA from 1 species